CAGUCAUCCACUACAGACUGAAAGAAAACAAAAAAAAAGCAACUGCUCAGUUUUCAUAAAUUGAAGACAUUGUUACUUACCUGCUUUCCAUAGGAACAGAACCUAUGAAUUGGACCUGAGUGGACUGGCCUGAAGGGAAGAAUGAAAUACGGAGAAAACAAAUUGGCUUCUAAAGAAUAUCACCAUGCAAGAAGUAAGAAUUAUAGGAAUGUAAUAAAUAUUUAAACUAGGCA